GAAGAAGAAGAGAGAUAAGAGAGAAAUUUAGAUUGAUAUUGUUGUUGAUCGUUUUCGAUAGAAAAAAUGUUUAUCAGCUACACGGAGUACAAGCCAACACAUCGCCACACAUGCAGACUUUAAAAAUGUCUCGUUAGCUACACGAAAUAUUGACAUCACAUACGAACAUACACGACAUCCUACUUUGACCAGAAUCCGGCAUUACCCAGUAUUAACCGGUGUUGACCGAUAUUGACCAAAAUUUGAUAAGAAGAAGAAAAGUUUAAGUAGAAGACAAUAAAAGGAAAUU
rnacentral:sRNA from 1 species